GACGAACGCUGGCGGCGUGCUUAACACAUGCAAGUCGAACGAAGAGCGAUGGAAGCUUGCUUCUAUCAAUCUUAGUGGCGAACGGGUGAGUAACGCGUAAUCAACCUGCCCUUCAGAGGGGGACAACAGUUGGAAACGACUGCUAAUACCGCAUACGAUCUAAUCUCGGCAUCGAGGAUAGAUGAAAGGUGGCCUCUACAUGUAAGCUAUCACUGAAGGAGGGGAUUGCGUCUGAUUAGCUAGUUGGAGGGGUAACGGCCCACCAAGGCGAUGAUCAGUAGCCCGUCUGGGAGGGUGGACGGCCACCUUGGGACUGAGACACGGCCCAGACUCCUACGGGAGGCAGCAGUGGGGAAUCUUCCGCAAUGGACGAAAGUCUGACGGAGCAACGCCGCGUGAGUGAUGACGGCCUUCGGGUUGUAAAGCUCUGUUAAUCGGGACGAAAGGCCUUCUUGCGAAUAGUGAGAAGGAUUGACGGUACCGGAAUAGAAAGCCACGGCUAACUACGUG
rnacentral:rRNA from 1 species